CAAAGAAAGAUGCUAAACUAUUUUUGCGAUGUGUUCCUAAUAUGUAAUCUAAAUGUAUUGGGAACAUUUUGCAUUCAUAGUUUUGUAUCAAU
ensembl:miRNA MIR450A2 microRNA 450a-2